rnacentral:rRNA from 1 species
GCUUGCUUCUCUUGAGAGCGGCGGACGGGUGAGUAAUGCCUAGGAAUCUGCCUGGUAGUGGGGGAUAACGUUCGGAAACGGACGCUAAUACCGCAUACGUCCUACGGGAGAAAGCAGGGGACCUUCGGGCCUUGCGCUAUCAGAUGAGCCUAGGUCGGAUUAGCUAGUUGGUGAGGUAAUGGCUCACCAAGGCGACGAUCCGUAACUGGUCUGAGAGGAUGAUCAGUCACACUGGAACUGAGACACGGUCCAGACUCCUACGGGAGGCAGCAGUGGGGAAUAUUGGACAAUGGGCGAAAGCCUGAUCCAGCCAUGCCGCGUGUGUGAAGAAGGUCUUCGGAUUGUAAAGCACUUUAAGUUGGGAGGAAGGGCAGUUACCUAAUACGUGAUUGUUUUGACGUUACCGACAGAAUAAGCACCGGCUAACUCUGUGCCAGCAGCCGCGGUAAUACAGAGGGUGCAAGCGUUAAUCGGAAUUACUGGGCGUAAAGCGCGCGUAGGUGGUUUGUUAAGUUGGAUGUGAAAUCCCCGGGCUCAACCUGGGAACUGA